ACUCCUACGGGAGGCAGCAGUAGGGAAUCUUCCACAAUGGACGAAAGUCUGAUGGAGCAACGCCGCGUGAGUGAAGAAGGGUUUCGGCUCGUAAAACUCUGUUGUUAAAGAAGAACAUAUCUGAGAGUAACUGUUCAGGUAUUGACGGUAUUUAACCAGAAAGCCACGGCUAACUACGUGCCAGCAGCCGCGGUAAUACGUAGGUGGCAAGCGUUGUCCGGAUUUAUUGGGGCGUAAAGCGAGCGCAGGCGGUUUUUAAGUCUGAUGUGAAAGCCUUCGGCUCAACCGAAGAAGUGCAUCGGAAACUGGGAAACUUGAGUGCAGAAGAGGACAGUGGAACUCCAUGUGUAGCGGUGGAAUGCGUAGAUAUAUGGAAGAACACCAGUGGCGAAGGCGGCUACCUGGUCUGCAACUGACGCUGAGACUCGAAAGCAUGGGUAGCGAACAGGAUUAGAUACCCUGGUA
rnacentral:rRNA from 1 species